rnacentral:rRNA from 1 species
UACAGAGGGGGCAAGCGUUGUUCGGAAUUACUGGGCGUAAAGGGCGCGUAGGCGGCCUUCUAAGUCGAACGUGAAAUCCCCGGGCUCAACCCGGGAACUGCGUCCGAUACUGGAAGGCUUGAAUCCGGGAGAGGGAUGCGGAAUUCCAGGUGUAGCGGUGAAAUGCGUAGAUAUCUGGAGGAACACCGGUGGCGAAGGCGGCAUCCUGGACCGGUAUUGACGCAGAGGCGCGAAAGCCAGGGGAGCAAACGGG